rnacentral:rRNA from 1 species
UACGGAGGAUCCAAGCGUUAUCCGGAUUCAUUGGGUUUAAAGGGUGCGUAGGCGGGAUUGUAAGUCAGUGGUGAAAGCCUGCAGCUUAACUGCAGAACUGCCAUUGAUACUGCAAACCUUGAGUACAUUUGAUGUGGGCGGAAUGUGUCAUGUAGCGGUGAAAUGCUUAGAUAUGACACAGAACACCGAUUGCGAAGGCAGCUCACAAAACUGUAACUGACGCUGAGGCACGAAAGCGUGGGUAUCAAAC